UUCCCACCGAUUACAUGCAAGUCAGGCGCUGCGCUGAAGAGAUCAUUUUCGAAUAUCGACCUCUACGCCACACACCUGCGAAUAACACGCAUGCGCUUUCUCUCCCCAUCCCUCCUUUGCUUUUAUUAUAACUUUGUUGGCUUCUUUCUUUAGAAGCAGAGACACUUGAAAUUGCAUUUUUUUUCCGACUUUUUGUUUUAUAAAUGGAGAAAAGGCAAUAUUUGAUUCCAUUGUAACCGGAGGCUAACUUUCUCUCAUCAUUCACCCGGUGUUUUGGAACGGAGUUAAGGCAGCCACUUAGGGCCGAGCAUGGAGGCAGAGGAUCAAUUCUGCUUGGAAAUCGGAUGUUUACCCGGAAGCAAACAGAAGUGCCAUCAGGUGUAAGACUGAAACCCUGCCCUGCUGUCUCCUUACCGUGGUUUUCUCCAGGCAGUGAAGCAGGUGGUGGUGUUGUGUCUCGAAGCUGGAUCCAGAUUUGCUAACGAAGGCCGGUUCAUCCUCCGAGGACUGUAACACAGGGAAGACACAGAACUUUCUCUUUAAAUUGCAGACUCGGAGAAUCUGGGCUACACACGUGCGCAGAGCUACCUGGCCUGUUUUCCGAGAUUAACCAGAGGCACUGACUAACUAAAAAAAGACAAAUGUGUAAUUAAGUCUGGGUGAUCAGCGGACGCAUUUCCAUUUGGUCUUUUAAGCUUAUAUCUCCUUGAAUUGGAAAUUCAAGUCCCUAUUACUCAGAGUUUAUUAAGUUCUACUUUGAUCUUGUGACCUUUGUAACACUUACUGAAUGCUACGCUUUCUCUAUCAGAAAUAGAGGAAGAUAGCAGAUCUCCCCUUGACCCCCUAUCAAACUGUACAUAUGUAAUUCUGAAAUAAAAGCAAUUAAA